AUCUCCAAACCGAGAAGACCGGCCCAGAACACUGCGGACAAAGGAGCCACAGUUGGGCUGGGCUUGAAAGGAAAGCAACUUGAGGAGCGGAAGCUCACUCUCCUCCGCUACCAGGAAGAAGCUAAACUGGGAACAAUGCAGAAAAGGCAGGAAAUCUCUAUCCCAGAGCCCAUCAGCAGGAGAGCAAGGCCAGCAUCAGGCCACAGAACAAAACAGACCAGCAAACUGGUCUGCAAAUCCUACGGCAGAAGGUGGAUCUUUAGGACUGGAUUCUGGUUGGACAGGCUGGAGCAGAUGGAUGUUGAACAUGGACCCGUGAAUGAGCAUCUAAACGCAACCAAAGAAGUUGACUGACUUCUCCGUGUGUGGAUCCUCUCUCUCCCUUCCUUCUGUCUUCUCACCUUGCUUGCUUCCCCAGUGGUUCGCUUGCUAGUCAUGAACGGGAUGUAAAUUCACAAACAUCCUUUUGGACAGAGUAGAAUAGAAAGGAUUUCAGGGUUCACACACUGACGUUUAGUAUCGUCCAUAACAUCUGGCCAAGUGUGUACUUCUAUACGUAGAUGUUCUUAUAUCCAAGAAUGGGCUGGUGUAUGAUGCGGCAUGUGUUUCUUACAGUGGUUCAUGGUAAAAAGUUGGACAGGCAUUGCCGUGGUGAGUAUCGAGAAGGGAAGGUCUGUGUCUCCGGUCGUUUUUAAAUGACCUUGCUUACGUGUCCCUCUCAGCCCUGUGCCUCUGCAGGAUUCUUUACUGAGUGGCCUUGAGAAGUACUGGUUAGAUAUCUUCACGGUGGUACCAGGGCAGACAGAGUGCCAAUGAGAGAAGGUGGGCCAGACCAUACCCGGCCUUCAAUCUCUAUGUCCUCUAUCCAUAUCUUUUUCAUCCUAAUGAUUAUUUCCUUGGUGAUACAAGCUCAUGCCUUUAACCGGUACAUGAAAGAAAGCAAAACAUACCUCACGUCUAGAAGGCAAUGGUUGCGAAUGUCCUCAGCCACUCUGCCAUCCAUUUUAUAAUCCUCUCUAGGGCUAGGAUUAAGGGCGUGCAGCACUACCACCCAGUUUCUAUGGCAAGCUAGUGUGGCUACUGGGAUUA